rnacentral:rRNA from 1 species
CAGUCGCCACGGGAAUACAGAGGGUGCGAGCGUUAAUCGGAUUUACUGGGCGUAAAGCGUGCGUAGGCGGCUUCUUAAGUCGGAUGUGAAAUCCCUGAGCUUAACUUAGGAAUUGCAUUCGAUACUGGGAAGCUAGAGUAUGGGAGAGGAUGGUAGAAUUCCAGGUGUAGCGGUGAAAUGCGUAGAGAUCUGGAGGAAUACCGAUGGCGAAGGCAGCCAUCUGGCCUAAUACUGACGCUGAGGUACGAAAGCAUGGUGAGCAAACAGGAUUAGAUACCCGCGUAGUCCCUGUCUCUUAUAA